UACGUAGGCAGCGAGCGUUGUUCGGAGUUACUGGGCGUAAAGAGUGCGUAGGCGGUUUUCUAAGUUUGGUGUGAAAUCUCCCGGCUUAACUGGGAGGGUGCGCCGAAAACUGGAAGGCUUGAGUAUGGGAGAGGUAAGCGGAAGUCCUGGUGUAGCGGUGAAAUGCGUAGAUAUCAGGAGGAACACCUGCGGUGUAGACGGCUUACUGGACCAUAACUGACGCUGAGGCACGAAAGCGUGGGUAGCAAACAGG
rnacentral:rRNA from 1 species